GAUGAACGCUAGCGGCAGGCCUAACACAUGCAAGUCGAGGGGUAGAACACUUCGGUGUUUGAGACCGGCGCACGGGUGCGUAACGCGUAUGCAAUCUACCUUAUACAGGGGAAUAGCCCAGAGAAAUUUGGAUUAAUGCCCCAUGGUAUUAUAGAGUGGCAUCACUUUAUAAUUAAAGUUCCAACGGUAUAAGAUGAGCAUGCGUCCCAUUAGUUAGUUGGUAAGGUAACGGCUUACCAAGACGAUGAUGGGUAGGGGUCCUGAGAGGGAGAGCCCCCACACUGGUAACGGGGCACGGACCAGACUCCUACGGGGGGCAGCAGUGAGGAGUAUUGGUCAAUGGUCGCAAGACUGAACCAGCCAUGCCGCGUGCAGGAAGACGGUCCUAUGGAUUGUAAACUGCUUUUAUACAGGAAGAAACCCUCCCACGUGUGGGAGCUUGACGGUACUGUAGGAAUAAGGAUCGGCUAACUCCGUGCCAGCCGCCGCCGUAAGAC
rnacentral:rRNA from 1 species